GCGGGCUAUGCUAAGAUGAGCUGGUGGGCGCUGUGUUGUGGUUGUCUUUCUUUGUUUGAGGUUGUUAAGUGAGAAAAAAGAAAGAGAAAGAGAGGGAGAGGGAAACUGGAAAGAAGGGCUCUAAUCAUUGAGCGGCAGGAGCGGGUGGAGACAGGCGGAAGGGCACAUGGCGUGGUGGGGCCCACUACGCACAACCCCACUCCCUCUGAUGCUUUGUGCAAUCUCUCUCUUCUUCUGUCUCUUUCUCUCUCUUCUCACCCUAUGUCACACACACACGC